rnacentral:sRNA from 1 species
GAGCCUGGCGGGAGGCACCGGCUCAGGUGCUGUCGUCCCGCGCGGCGCCGCCUCUGCUGCGGGCCGGGGGAGCCAGACGAGGUGCUGCCAGGACCACCUGGCUUCAUGUGUGGAUUUGCACGGCUCUUGCCCAGAGGCGGGUACACUGUGUUCCAGUGUGCCACAGAACUCACGCAGUGGCACUUUGUGGCUUCAUGAAGGAAGAGGCAGGCCACGCAACACUUCCUCCCCAAGCCAAGGAGAAGUAUCACUUUUAGAGGCAGAGGAGCGGAAGGCAGUGGGGUGACCAAAAGUGCCAUUUAUUAAAGCUUAUCUUCCUUGCCAGAUUUUAAAAACUAUUAUGGAAAAUUUCAAGCAUUCAUAAAAGUAGAGAGAAAGAAAGGACUCUGAGAUUGUUGGAGCAGAACUACUGAGAAAAAGCAGGCAUUGUAUCUUCAGUUGUCAUCGAGUUUGCAAUCAGAUUGGAAAAGCUCAACUUGA